GCAAAGGCGCGCCCUAGGUAAAAGUCAAGGGAGGCGCUAAGCGGCUCCCGGCCGGCCGCCGCGCUGAGCUUAGAGCUGAGCUCGAAUUUGCUGAGUUUUCCUCACACAGCCCUGUGUCCGAGGUAUUGCGGAGUAUUGGCGAUGGGAAUGCCUCUUUCUUGAGAAUGAAGACAGUGGGAAGCAGAGAAGUCCUGAACACAUACUCUCACUGCGUUUUGUGUGAGGAUCUUAAAGCAGAGCUCUCCAGCCUUAAUUGAAGAG